CCCUGAUGUUAGCGGCGGACGGGUGAGUAACACGUGGGUAACCUGCCUGUAAGACUGGGAUAACUCCGGGAAACCGGGGCUAAUACCGGAUGGUUGUUUGAACCGCAUGGUUCAAACAUAAAAGGUGGCUUCGGCUACCACUUACAGAUGGACCCGCGGCGCAUUAGCUAGUUGGUGAGGUAACGGCUCACCAAGGCAACGAUGCGUAGCCGACCUGAGAGGGUGAUCGGCCACACUGGGACUGAGACACGGCCCAGACUCCUACGGGAGGCAGCAGUAGGGAAUCUUCCGCAAUGGACGAAAGUCUGACGGAGCAACGCCGCGUGAGUGAUGAAGGUUUUCGGAUCGUAAAGCUCUGUUGUUAGGGAAGAACAAGUACCGUUCGAAUAGGGCGGUACCUUGACGGUACCUAACCAGAAAGCCACGGCUAACUACGUGCCAGCAGCCGCGGUAAUACGUAGGUGGCAAGCGUUGUCCGGAAUUAUUGGGCGUAAAGGGCUCGCAGGCGGUUUCUUAAGUCUGAUGUGAAAGCCCCCGGCUCAACCGGGGAGGGUCAUUGGAAACUGGGGAACUUGAGUGCAGAAGAGGAGAGUGGAAUUCCACGUGUAGCGGUGAAAUGCGUAGAGAUGUGGAGGAACACCAGUGGCG
rnacentral:rRNA from 1 species